rnacentral:rRNA from 1 species
AGUGAACGCUGGCGGUAGGCCUAACACAUGCAAGUCGAACGGCAGCACAGUAAGAGCUUGCUCUUACGGGUGGCGAGUGGCGGACGGGUGAGGAAUACAUCGGAAUCUACUUUUUCGUGGGGGAUAACGUAGGGAAACUUACGCUAAUACCGCAUACGACCUACGGGUGAAGGCAGGGGAUCUUCGGACCUUGCGCGAUUGAAUGAGCCGAUGUCGGAUUAGCUAGUUGGCGGGGUAAAGGCCCACCAAGGCGACGAUCCGUAGCUGGUCUGAGAGGAUGAUCAGCCACACUGGAACUGAGACACGGUCCAGACUCCUACGGGAGGCAGCAGUGGGGAAUAUUGGACAAUGGGCGCAAGCCUGAUCCAGCCAUACCGAGUGGGUGAAGAAGGCCUUCGGGUUGUAAAGCCCUUUUGUUGGGAAAGAAAAGCAGCAGGUUAAUACCCCGCUGUUCUGACGGUACCCAAAGAAUAAGCACCGGCUAACUUCGUG